rnacentral:rRNA from 1 species
GGAAACCCUGGUGGAACUCGUACGGUUCUGACGUGCAAAUCGAUCGUCGCACUUGGGUAUAGGGGCGAAAGACUAAUCGAACCAUCUAGUAGCUGGUUCCCUCCGAAGUUUCCCUCAGGAUAGCUGGAGCCCGGCUAGGCAGUUUUAUCGGGUAAAGCGAAUGAUUAGAGGUAUCGGGGUCCGAGCGACCUCGACCUAUUCUCAAACUUUCAAUAGGUAAGAGCGGUCGGCUUGCUUAAGUGAAGCCGCUCCGCGGAAUGCAGGGGCUCCUGGUGGGCCGUUUUUGGUAAGCAGAACCGGCGAUGCGGGAUGAACCGAACGGCGGGUUACGGUGCCGGAGUCGACGCUGAUCAGAACCCAGGAAAGGUGUUGGUUGAUCCAGACAGCAGGACGGUGGCCAUGGAAGUCGGAAUCCGCUAAGGAGUGUGUAACAACUCACCUGCCGAAUCAACUAGCCCUGAAAAUGGAUGGCGCUGAAGCGUCGCACCCAUACCCGCCCGUCGCGGCGGCGUCCGGUCGGGCCGCGGCGUGUAGAAGGGCGCGRAGGUCCCCGUGCAAUGCGGUGCAGCUGCGGCGUAAGCGCGGCGGACCGGCUUCCGGUGCGGAUCUUGGUGGUAGUAGCAACUUAUUCAAGGGAGGGCCUUGAAGACCGAAGUGGGGAAGGGUUCCGUGUGACCAGCACUUGGACACGGGUGAGUCGAUCCUAAGCGGCGGGGGAACCCCCCGAGGCGAGAGGGCGUCCGCUCGUCGGCCGUUUGCUCGGUGCGGCGAGGGCGCCAGCCAGCGACAGGGAAUCGGGUUAACAUUCCCGAACCGGAGCACGGAGUCGGCCUCGGCCGAUGGCGGCAACGCAAGCGAACUCGGAGACGCCGGCGGCAGUCCCGGGAAGAGUUGUCUUUUCUUCUCGACGGGCCUCGACCCUGGAAUCGGGUUGGCCGGAGAUAGGGUCCACGGUCCGGCCUAGCGCCACACUUGAGGUGGCGUCCGGUGCGCUGUCGACGGCCCUUGAAAAUCCGAGGGAGC